CCCUUAGAUGUUCUGGGCUGCACGCGCGCUACACUGAAGCUAUCAACACGUUUUCCCUCCCUGAGAAGGGCGGGUAACCUUUUGAAUCAGCUUCGUGGUAGGGAUCGGGGCUUGCAAUUGUUCCCCGUGAACCAGGAAUUCCUAGUAGACGCGAGUCAUAAGCUCGCAUUGAUUACGUCCCUGCCCUUUGUACACACCGCCCGUCGCACCUACCGAUUGGAUGGUCCGGUGAGAAUUUCGGAUUGUGAUAUCGUCGCUUUAAUUAGGGAUGAUGUUGUGAGAAGUUAUUCAAACCUUACCAUCUAGAGGAAGGUGAAGUCGUAACA
rnacentral:rRNA from 1 species